CCUACGGGAGGCAGCAGUGAGGAAUAUUGGUCAAUGGACGAGAGUCUGAACCAGCCAAGUAGCGUGAAGGAUGACUGCCCUAUGGGUUGUAAACUUCUUUUAUAUGGGAAUAAAAUGUUCCACGUGUGGGAUUUUGUAUGUACCAUAUGAAUAAGGAUCGGCUAACUCCGUGCCAGCAGCCGCGGUAAUACGGAGGAUCCGAGCGUUAUCCGGAUUUAUUGGGUUUAAAGGGGGCGUAGGUGGAUUGUUAAGUCAGUUGUGAAAGUUUGCGGCUCAACCGUAAAAUUGCAGUUGAAACUGGCAGUCUUGAGUACAGUAGAGGUGGGCGGAAUGCGUGGUGUAGCGGUGAAAUGCUUAGAUAUCACGAAGAACUCCGAUUGCGAAGGCAGUUCACUGGACUGCAACUGACACUGAGGCUCGAAAGUGUGUGUAUCAAACAGGAUUAGAUACCCUAGUAGUC
rnacentral:rRNA from 1 species